rnacentral:rRNA from 1 species
UUCAAGUGGUCGGGAUAAUUAUUGGGCUUAAAGUGUCCGUAGCCGGUUUAGUAAGUUCCUGGUAAAAUCGGGUAGCUUAACUAUCUAUAUGCUAGGAAUACUGCUAUACUACAAGGCGGGAGAGGUCUGAAGUACUACACGGGUAGGGGUGAAAUCUUAUAAUCCUUGUACGACCACCACUGGCGAAAGCGUCAGACUGGAACGCGCCUGACGGUGAGGGACGAAAGCCACGGAGCGAACCGGAUUAGAUACUCGGGUAUUCCUGGCUGUCAACGAUGCAUACUACGUGAUGGUACGGCCAUGAGCCGUGUCAGUGCCGUAGGGAAACCGUUAAGUGUGCCGCCUGGGAAGUACGGUCGCAAGGCUAAAACUUAAAGGAAUUGGCGGGGGAGCACCACAAGGGGUGAAAGCCUGCGGUUCAAUUGGACUCAACGCCGGGAAACUUACCAGGGGAGACAGUAGUAUGACGGUCAGGUUGACGACCUUACCUAACAAGCUGAGAGGAGGUGCAUGGCCGUCGCCAGUUCGUGCUGUGAGGUAUCCUGUUAAGUCAGGCAACGAACGAGAUCCGCACCUUUAUUUGCCAGCAAGAAUCACGACUUCCUUGGGAACACUAAAGGGACCGCCGUUCGAUAAGACGGAAGAAGGACCGGGCAAAGGCAGGUCAGUAUACCCCGGAAACCCCCUGGCUACACGCGGGCUGCAAUGGUAUGGAACAAUGGGCUGUGACUCCGAAAGGAGAAACCAAUCCCGAAAUCAUAUCUCAGUUGGGAUUGUCCGGGCUGUAACCCGCCGACAUGAACGUGGAUCCCUAGUAAUAGUGUGUCAUCAUCGCACGGUGAAUACGUUUGUGCUCCUUGCACACACCGCCCGUCGCUCCAUCCGAGUGUGUUAAAAAUGAGGUGCGGUCAUUAUGGUCGUAUCGAGUUUCUAGUAUGCGAGGAGGGAG